GAAAGGGGCACAUUGUGCUACAGAAAGUGGCAGCCGAUAAUUUUUUUUUUAAGUUUGUUAUGGGAGAUUGGCUAAAUUAGUUUAUCUAGGAGUUCCCAUUGGGACUUCUUUUGAGAGGAUCUCCUGUAUGAAGGAAAAUGAGUUUCCUGGCAGACCCCCGUCACACCCCCCAAAAGCACAGAGUCAAGGGCUCCACAGAUCUCACACCUAUUCCCAGCAGAUGACCCAAGAUCUCACCAUUUUUCACUGGAUCCAAAGGUCCUACGACCUCUAGGUUCCAGGAAUUAGCUACACUCUAUUCAUUGCAGGAGGAUGAUUUUUUUUUUUUUCACUUUGAGAAAACCUCAAUGGGAUUUUAACCGAAGGGAAGCAAAGGUUUUCUUUUUAUAAAUUCGAUUAGUCUUUCCCACUUUCUGUACCUCAAGACAUUUCCUUUGGGAAGAAUUUUAUACCCAGAGACCCCCUUAGCGAGGCACUGUUGCAUGCGGGGCGCGGUGAAUUUCAGCGCAAGACGCUGCAUGUGGACGGAAAGCAAAAAUCGCGGGCACUUGCAGUCGCCAGCAAAGUCAGUUUGUGAAUGCUGCCGUGGGGAUGGCCCUGCCAGAGAAGGAAGAUGAAGUUUGCCGCGGGCAGGCUGUGUGGGACCUCUGGCUGGGAUGCGUGCGGGUGGUUACCAAGCCCGCCCUUCGCUCGCCACGGCUGACUUUCCCGCCGGAGCCGGCGCCGGGGCGCCUGGUCCCCGCGCUGCACCCGGCGCCGGUCUGGAGAUAGCCCUUGGCUGUGGGCGGCGGGAGUCCCCCUGAAAGUGCGCCUUUUCGCCGCCGGGACUUAGCUGCUGGGGAGCGAGCGCGCCGAGUGCGCACUGCGUCGAUCGACUCCGCCCGGACCGGGGGUACCCACCCGAGCCUGCUCCCCGAGGCCUCGGGUUCGAAGCCUCUCCCGUGGCGGAGGAGAGGUUGGGAUUUGAGCAGCAGCCGUUCGGUUAAGGAAGGAGUUUCUGAAACUCUCGGGAAAGCGAAGUCCCGGGGCGUGGAAAAUAAUCGAGCCGACGCUCUCCCGGCCACAGAGGGAAAGAAAACAAACAAGAAAUUAGCGGGGGACGCUGCGCACAGAGCGAGACGCCCGCCUCUACGCCGUCGAGGACGCAAAAGAACGAAAAAAGUUAUUAAAGUUUGGAUCCCCCCAAUUAAUUCGUCUCUGCUCGCCCAUUUUUAAUUAAACAUCGCGAAGCUGC